UACGAAGGGGGGCUAGCGUUGUUCGGAAUUACUGGGCGUAAAGCGCGCGUAGGCGGCGACCUUUGUCAGAGGUGAAAUCCCGAGGCUCAACUUCGGAAUUGCCUUUGAAACGGGGUUGCUAGAGUCCGAGAGAGGAUGGCGGAAUUCCUAGUGUAGAGGUGAAAUUCGUAGAUAUUAGGAAGAACACCGGUGGCGAAGGCGGCCAUCUGGCUCGGUACUGACGCUCAGGCGCGAAAGCGUGGGGAGCAAACAGG
rnacentral:rRNA from 1 species